AGAUUUGGUUUUCUAAUAAUAAUAAUAAAAUAAUAAUUAAUAUUUAAUAACAACUAAUCAAGACCUUAAAAAUGCCUAAGAUCUUACAAAAACUGACCCGAACACAAUCGACUGGGUACAACAUGUUCUGUGCGACAUUAAAAGGAAAAAUUUAAAAAAAAACACAGAACCAGAACUCGGCAAGCUAAGAAAAAUGGGCCAAGAACUGUUUAAUGAGAAAUAUU